CCGCUGAAUUUAAGCAUAUAAGUAAGCGGAGGAAAAGAAACCAAAUGGGAUUCCCUUAGUAAUGGCGAAUGAACCGGGAUCAGCUCAAAUUGAGAAUCGUCGCCUUGAUGGCGGUGAAUUGUAGUCUGAAGGUGGUUACCAGUGAGGACGCCAGAGUAAUUCUCUUGGGAUAGAGCUUCGUAGAGGGUGAGAUACCCGUCUGCCUCUAGCUUUCUCCUCGCGUACGGUAGCACCCUAACGAGUCGCGUUCCUCGGAAGUGGAGCGCUAAGUAGGUGGUAAAUUUCACCUAAAGCUAAAUAUUGAACCGAGACCGAUAGUAAACAAGUACCGKGAGGGAAAGGUGAAAAGAACUUUGAAGAGAGAGUUCAGUCMUAGCUGUUUCC
rnacentral:rRNA from 1 species